GGCACUUUGGCGGAGUGGUUAACGCGAUGCCCUGCUAUGGUCUUGGACCAAGAAAGGCAUUUCCCUCGGGAGCGUGUGUUCGAAUCACACAGGUGUCG
rnacentral:tRNA from 1 species